AUGUGGUUUUGUAAAAUAUCAGAUUGUCUUCAGGCCACAGGGGAGUCUGUUCUGCUUUACCUCUACAUAUGAAAAAGAAACCCAAAAGACCCCCAGCUUUACAAAUCAGAGUUCAAAAUUUCACAAUAUGUCAAUACACAGGGGAAAUGGGAAAAUCAGGCCCCUCUCCCAGGCAUUCCUUUUGGUAUGAUUUCUGUAGCUAUGAAUUUUGGAGUGUUUGCAGCCUUUAUAUUUAAAAAAAAAAAAAAUCGCCAGCCCUGUGUUACUAUCCCAACAGGUUUUCAUCCCAGCAGGCACAUCAGCAAAGGCAAGCAGUCACUAAUGAAUGACUAUCCACAGAACUGUCAUGGAGCACCUUGCCCAUGGUUGCACAGUAAAAUGCUUUGUUUAAGUCACCAUGGAGAUGGCUCAAAUCACUGGAUUUUCAUUUGAAAUUGUUAUUCAGGAUCUAUAUAAUUUAUUAAUGUAGCUUGUUUGAUAGGUGGUGACUUAUGGAGAGAGGAUAAUUCAGUCAUUUCCAAGGAUGUGACUGUUCCAUUAAAGCUGCUCAGCCAAAUGAUGAAAACUGAGCCUUAAAAUUGGGUAAAUAGUGCUGGAGAGAAAUGAUUGCAGAACUUCUUUUGUCGUAUUUGCUCAGACCUUAGAUAAUCUGAGAGUGAUGCUGUAGUUACACAACUAUCAGAGAAGUCAGCUCCUCCCUUAAAACACUGCAUGAAAUCCUUUUGUCGUUGCCUUGCAUUGAGUCCAGGACUUGGGAGGAAAUGUCUCGCAUGUUUGCUCAGAUGUAAAUUAUUAUGAGUGCAUGUGCAAAAUUCCUCAGCUGAUUUGAAAUAACAGAAUCUCCACAAUCCAAGUGAGCGGCUGAUAUUCCAGUGAGCAUUAUCUUCUACCCAGUUGCCUACUGUGAAUUUGAAAAUCUUCAUUGGUGACAUACCUAUUUAUAGAAAGGCAGAGAAAUAACGAAUAAGUAUCUUUGCUUUUUUUUAAAUUCUCUUUCCUAAUUUCUCUAGAACUUAGCGUCAAGAGUCCCUUUGUGAUGGUCGUAAUAGAGACUUACAUAUGGCUUCCUUUGAUAGGAAUGUGCAUACUUCCCUCUAUUUUCUUUCUAAGCCAAAAUGAAAAAAAACUCAAACAAAAACAAACAAACAAACCCACACCUAACCCACACUUUUUUCUCUUUUGUGCAUGGAAAGGGUAAAAACUCCCCUGAUUGUUACAACAGAAGUUUUAUUUGAGUUAUUCAUUAAGACUCGUGUGCAUCUCCACUCAAUCUUCUCUUCCUAAAACAGAAUAAACAAUCACAGGCUUGACAAUUCUUCCAGGGCUGAAACCCAGGAUGUAAAUAAACAACUGCUUUAGGUGAUUUGAUGGUGGCUUUUCCAGAAAUGUGCCAAGUGUCACAGGUAAGUUAUUUUGCCUCUGGGGAUAGGAAAUAAUAAAGCUUUAGAUAAGAGUUCGAGGGAAAGGUUACACUAAACUCACAUAUUUAUAUUUGUAUCAAAUACAUAAUUGAUAAAAAUGCAUUUCCCAAGCCCUACAGGAGCUUAGACAGUAUUCUGCUAUUGCUAAAUUCUGCUUAUCAUUAAACAUAGAUGAAGCUUUGUCACAUCUUCCAACAACAGAUCCUGGGAAGGCUGGGAAAGUUUAAUGGAGACCACUGCCCAAAUAAACACAGCAAUUUCCUGGACAGGAUAUUUUUGUUUGAGAUGGAGAAAGCACUGCAGUUAAAUUCAUCACUGAGCUUCUUUCUCCCUCUAAACCAGGUCUGUAGUCCCCUUCUGGUUGUGUUUGUGGACAGCAUCAGAAUGUGUGACACAGCAGUGCACAAACCUCCAAGUACUGGAAGAAAUUAAUACUGUGUACCAGGAACAUUUCCAUAAUUACACUGAAAGCACCCAGUAAUUAAAGACACUCUAUUAAUAAUGUUACCAAAAUACACUUAAAGACUUCUAAAGAAAUUUCAGACUGGUUUAAAAUUUCCAAAUCCCCAAAGAGAUGAGGAAGCAGCUAAAUCUGCAUUUGAUAAAAGUCCAAAACAAUCUCGCUGCUGCAUAGUCAAUCUUUAAAUUCAUUAAGAAACCCCUUGUUUUAAUUAAAGUUACACCACAUAAAAAUGAAUCUAAAAACUCAUCUGGUAACAAAGACCUCUUCCUUGUUUGCUCAUAAGACACAAACUUCAAUGCAUAUUUUUGACAGAAUUGCAGAAUUCCUCCCUCUGCAUUUUCAGAUGUCAUAGAAGCCUUUCAUAGCAAAAGACUGUAACAUCUUUACACCAAAAAUUGCAUUCUAUUAAUGCUUUUCUGAAUGGACCCAGACUCUUGGUGAUUUUGUGCAAAAACCAGACUGAUUUUUACUUGAUGCUUUCAGCAGUUCUAUUGGUAUGUUGUUCAUUGCUCCAGGGUUUGUUUCUCAGUUUUUUUCUUCUUUUCUUUUUCCCCCUCCUUUAUUUCUGCUGGUUUCAGCUUUGAUCUUAAUUGGGAAAAGUUUCUGGUUCACUCAGAUUUCCAUGGAACUUUGAUAGCCAUUGGAUGUGCAGAAGAGCUCUUCACAGACUUCCUUGCAGCAAUAAAGCCUGCAAAUGGAUAGUAAAUGGAAGUGCAAAAGCAGAAUGCAGCAGCUUAUACACAGCAGAACUGGGGAAUAUUUUCUGGGAUAACAUGGAAUGAGCAUUUCUGUGCGUGUUUCCUGCAGAGGACUUUGCUCGCUCCUGCACCUUCGUGCCACAGACAAAUCUUCCAGCUCACAGAAUGGGGAUAAUUAGAAUGGAAGAAAUUUUUAUGGUUUGCAAGGAAUUGGAUCAAUCAGUUUUGACUUGGAGACUUUCAUUGCCAUUUAUUUGAUAGUUAGAAGCAUCAGCAUCUCAGAAGUUAAUGAUCUGCCUAAAUAAUGGGGAUUGUAGAAGACUGAAUGUUACUAAAUUAAUAAAUAUAAUAAAUAUUAACUCUUUCACUGCAAGUAUAUGCUCCCUCUGAAAUUAAAGAUGAGAAUAAUGCUGGAUUUUCAGUUCAGAAGUAAUGGUUUCAUAUAUUCCUAAGAUCCAUUCUUUAUUUAUGAUAUUGAUAUUCAGAACAGAGCUGUGUAUUAUAUUCAUAAUGCCCAUCUGGGCUGUGCUUUCAUGUUAAUUGAGAGACAUUAAUUGUGCCUCUUAAAGUGGAAAUGGUCUCUGUCUUCAGGUUUGGGUUUGUUUAGCAAGUUUAGGACAGUCUGAUAAAUGUGGAGAAAAUAUUUGCUCCUUAUGUUUAUGGUGAAACAGUGAAAGUUUACCAUCUCCCCGGGUAAUUAGCUUUCGAUGCAGGAAAUAUUUGGGGAUGAUAUAGGAUUUACUGAACAAAAUGGAAAGUAUGAUGAGAGAUGAAAUGAAUUAUAGACAAGUGAAGGAAAUGGGGAAAGUUUUAAGAGAAAUUGUUUUAUAUAGAAUAGUUAUUAUAACAGUCAUUAAAACAGCAGUAAUAAAAUUAUAUUUAUAGCUGAAUAAGGAGUCUCAGUGUGAUUAAGAUAUGGAAGUAGCUAAUUGGACUGCUGAAAUAUUAGGAUAUUGAAGUGAUGAAAAGUAUACAAAUGAAAAUAAAAGUGCAUAAAAAUUAAUGAGGAGACUGAAAUAGGAAAUGGAAUAAAGGAAAAUAACAAAUGAAGCAAUGUAUAAUGAAUAAACACAUAGCUGGUAGACAAGGAGACAAUAAGGACAUUGGAAAAGUGAAGGGAUAUUCAGUGCCUCAGAGCUCCUACUUUUGCAGAGCCCUUGCUCAAGUUCAGCGUUUGGGUUUCUGUGUGUAGAGAAGGAUGAUUUCUCCCAUUCCAUAGGAUCAGGUUGCUCAGUGCUCCCCAUCCACCUUGGCCUGGAGCACUGCCAGGGGUGAGACAGCCCCAGCUGCUCUGGGCCGCCUCUCCCAGGGCUCCUCACAACCUUCGCAGCGAAGAUUUUCUUCCUAAAGUCUUGUCUAACCCUGCCCCUUUUCAGUCUGAAGCCAUUCCCUGUGUCCUGUCACCCCAGGCUCUUGCACAAGUCCCUCCCCAGCUCUC